GAGAGAGAGAGAGAGAGAACACCGUAGGGAACACGGGUUUCACUGGCACCCAGUACGUUGGACAUUUGUGUGAAAGUGAGGCCAGUGUGGUCUACGCUUGGUCGCACCACAGUUCGAUCAU
rnacentral:precursor_RNA from 10 species